rnacentral:sRNA from 12 species
CAACAGGCUAGACCGAUCAUCGAAAAGCGUAAACCGUAAUGCGCCUGCCUGUUGUUUUUAUAAAUUACG